AGCAGUGGCUACAUAGUUAUUAGGCUGGCCAGCUAAACUAUGUGGAUCCAGCUACUGGCUAUGUGGUGCUCACACAGAUUGCCCACUUGCAAAGAGGUGAAUGUUGUGGCUCUGCUUGCAGACAUUGUCCAUAUGGUCAAGUCAAUGUUAAAGAUCCAUCUAAAAAGAAGCAAUUCAAUUCAUAUUUUUAUGUUUGACCAAAUUUCAUCUCUGUUCCCUAACUGUGCUUGUAUUUUUAAAAAAAUAAAGCCCUAAUUCAGAAUUGCUGGGUUAUUAGUACUUGAACACUAGUUUAAUCCUAAAUACAUAUAUUAAAAGAACAUCAAUAAAAUGAAAAAGC
rnacentral:sRNA from 1 species